ensembl:lincRNA
UACGAAAUUGACUCAGCACAUGACCAGAAACAGAGGUGAUAAAACCUUGAAUUUCAGUAGUGCAUGACUACAACACAUGCUUUAGCCAUGGGAUUUACAACACAGCUGGUGUAUUAGCAGUACAGGACAUUCAACUCCACCAUCCAUACCUGAAGCCGUCAAGGGUAAUGGAUACCAAGAUGUGGAGAACAACACUGAUGACCACAACUUUUAUAUUAAUAGCUCAGUUAAUAACGACAGCUGAUGCUUCAAGCCCCACAGACGUAACUGAGGGCAUCACACCAGAAUCUUACAUCAGUUUCACAAAUGAUUCUGCAACAAACACAACUGAUGGAUUUUCAUCAGAAAUAUCUAAGGAAUCAAUUACAAGAAGCACUGCUGAAUCUAUAACCAGUUUAGCAGGUGAGAUCACUUCAUUAUCUUGCACAAUUGCUUCAAAUGCCAUGAAAAGAAUUUACUGAGUAUAAAUGUACAUUGUUUACAGAUGAAUCGACCAAUGAUGGCAUUUCAGAGAAGCAAGAAUUCUCCACAUCUUCCUUAGACGACUCUGAACUGUCAACACUAGAGGGGUCUUUUAUGUCAAGUAUAACAGGAAAACCAGAUACUGCAAUUACAGCAGAAGAAACAACUGAUCAACAGACUACUGAUGAGGAACUAAAAUUAACAACAGAACUAACAACUGAUUUGACAGAAAAAACAGAAAUGCCAACUGGAGGACUGGUUGAUCAAUUGACAACAGAAGUCACUGGAGAAACACCUACACCUGAGGAACUAGAAAUGUCAACAGCGUUUACAUCAGAAUUUACUAUCAGCAUUGCAGAUACACUAACAGAUUUUACGACAGAUUUAACAGAGGAAACCGAUUUGCCAACUGUUGGAGUAACUGAUCAAUUGACUACAGAGUUCAAUGGAGAAUCAACUAUUCCUCAAGAAAUGGAAUUGACAACAGCAUUUACAUCAGAAGUAUCUAGCAGUUUCACAGAUUUACCAACACAACUUACAACAGAUUUGACAGAGGAAACUGAAAUGUCAACUGCUGGAGUGACCGAUCAACUGACGACAGAGGUCACUGAAGUAUCUUCUACUCCUGAAGAAGAUCUAACAACAGCAUUUACAUCAGAAGUAUCUAACAGUUUCACAGAAAUACCAACACAACUUACAACAGAUUUGACAGAGGAAACUGAAAUUUCAACAGCUGGAGUGACCGAUCAACUGACGACAGAGGUCACUGAAGUAUCUUCUACUCCUGAAGAAUAUCUAACAACAGCAUUUACAUCAGAAGUAUCAAGCAGUUUCACAGAAAUACCAAAACAACUUACAACAGAUUUGACAGAGGAAACUGAAAUGUCAACUGCUGGAGUGACUGAUCAACUGACAACAGAUUUGACAGAGGAAACUGAAAUGUCAACUGCUGGAGUGACCGAUCAACUGACGACAGAGGUCACUGAAGUAUCUUCUACUCCUGAAGAAGAUCUAACAACAGCAUUUACAUCAGAAGUAUCUACCAGUUUCACAGAUAUACCAACACAACUUACAACAGAUUUGACAGAGGAAACUGAAAUGACAACAGAGGUCACUGGAGAAGUAACUACCCACGAAAUAGAAUUCACAACAGCAUUUACGUCAGAAGUAUCGACCAGUUAUACAGAUAUACCAACACCAUCUACAACUGAUUCAUCUGAAGAGUCAACAGAGGAAACUGAAAUGACAACCAUGGGUGUAACUGAUCAACUGACUACAGAGGUAACAGGAGAAUCAACCACUCCUGAAGAAGAAUUGACAACAAAAUUUACAUCAGAAGUUUCUACCAGUUUCACCGAAUUACCAACACCAUCUACAACUGAUUCAUCUGAAGAGUCAACAGAGGAAACUGAAAUGACUACCAUUGGUGUAACUGAUCAACUGACUACAGAGGUAACAGGAGAAUCAACCACUCCUGAAGAAGAAAUGACAACAGAAUUUACAUCAGAAGUUUCUACCAGUUUCACCGAAUUACCAACACCAGCUACAACUGAUUCAUCUGAAGAGUCAACAGAGGAAACUGAAAUGACUACCAUUGGUGUAACUGAUCAACUGACUACAGAGGUAACAGGAGAAUUAACCACUCCUGAAGAAGAAUUGACAACAGCAUUUACAUCAGAAGUUUCUACCAGUUUCACCGAAUUACCAACACCAUCUACAACUGAUUCAUCUGAAGAGUCAACAGAGGAAACUGAAAUGACAACCAUUGGUGUAACUGAUCAACUGACUACAGAUGUAACAGGAGAAUUAACUACACCUGAAGAAGAAUUGACAACAGCAUUUACAACAGAAGUUUCUACCAGUUUCACAGAAUUACCAACACCAUCUACAACUGAUUCAUCUGAAGAGUCAACAGAGGAAACUGAAAUGACAACCAUGGGUGUAACUGAUCAACUGACUACAGAGGUAACAGGAGAAUCAACCACUCCUGAAGAAGAAUUGACAACAGAAUUUACAUCAGAAGUUUCUACCAGUUUCACCGAAUUACCAACACCAUCUACAACUGAUUCAUCUGAAGAGUCAACAGAGGAAACUGAAAUGACAACCAUUGGUGUAACUGAUCAACUGACUACAGAGGUAACAGGAGAAUCAACCACUCCUGAAGAAGAAUUGACAACAGAAUUUACAUCAGAAGUUUCUACCAGUUUCACCGAAUUACCAACACCAUCUACAACUGAUUCAUCUGAAGAGUCAACAGAGGAAACUGAAAUGACUACCAUUGGUGUAACUGAUCAACUGACUACAGAGGUAACAGGAGAAUUAACCACUCCUGAAAAAGAAUUGACAACAGCAUUUACAUCAGAGGUUUCUACCAGUUUCACCGAAUUACCAACACCAUCUACAACUGAUUCAUCUGAAGAGUCAACAGAGGAAACUGAAAUGACAACCAUUGGUGUAACUGAUCAACUGACUACAGAUGUAACAGGAGAAUUAACUACACCUGAAGAAGAAUUGACAACAGCAUUUACAUCAGAAGUUUCUACCAGUUUCACAGAAUUACCAACACCAUCUACAACUGAUUCAUCUGAAGAGUCAACAGAGGAAACUGAAAUGACAACCAUGGGUGUAACUGAUCAACUGACUACAGAGGUAACAGGAGAAUCAACCACUCCUGAAGAAGAAUUGACAACAGAAUUUACAUCAGAAGUUUCUACCAGUUUCACCGAAUUACCAACACCAUCUACAACUGAUUCAUCUGAAGAGUCAACAGAGGAAACUGAAAUGACUACCAUUGGUGUAACUGAUCAACUGACUACAGAGGUAACAGGAGAAUUAACCACUCCUGAAAAAGAAUUGACAACAGCAUUUACAUCAGAAGUUUCUACCAGUUUCACCGAAUUACCAACACCAUCUACAACUGAUUCAUCUGAAGAGUCAACAGAGGAAACUGAAAUGACAACCAUUGGUGUAACUGAUCAACUGACUACAGAUGUAACAGGAGAAUUAACUACACCUGAAGAAGAAUUGACAACAGCAUUUACAACAGAAGUUUCUACCAGUUUCACAGAAUUACCAACACCAUCUACAACUGAUUCAUCUGAAGAGUCAACAGAGGAAACUGAAAUGACAACCAUUGGUGUAACUGAUCAACUGACUACAGAGGUAACAGGAGAAUCAACCACUCCUGAAGAAGAAUUGACAACAAAAUUUACAUCAGAAGUUUCUACCAGUUUCACCGAAUUACCAACACCAUCUACAACUGAUUCAUCUGAAGAGUCAACAGAGGAAACUGAAAUGACUACCAUUGGUGUAACUGAUCAACUGACUACAGAGGUAACAGGAGAAUCAACCACUCCUGAAGAAGAAAUGACAACAGAAUUUACAUCAGAAGUUUCUACCAGUUUCACCGAAUUACCAACACCAUCUACAACUGAUUUAUCUGAAAAGUCAACAGAGGAAACUGAAAUGACAACCAUUGGUGUAACUGAUCAACUGACUACAGAGGUAACAGGAGAAUCAACCACUCCUGAAGAAGAAUUGACAACAGAAUUUACAUCAGAAGUUUCUACCAGUUUCACCGAAUUACCAACACCAUCUACAACUGUAUCAUCUGAAGAGUCAGAGGAAACUGAAAUGACUACCAUUGGUGUAACUGAUCAACUGACUACAGAGGUAACAGGAGAAUCAACCACUCCUGAAGAAGAAUUGACAACAGAAUUUACAUCAGAAGUUUCUACCAGUUUCACCGAAUUACCAACACCAUCUACAACUGAUUUAUCUGAAAAGUCAACAGAGGAAACUGAAAUGACAACCAUUGGUGUAACUGAUCAACUGACUACAGAUGUAACAGGAGAAUUAACUACACCUGAAGAAGAAUUGACAACAGCAUUUACAUCAGAAAUUUCUACCAGUUUCACAGAAUUACAAACACCAUCUACAACUGAUUCAUCUAAAGAGUCAACAGAGGAAACUGAAAUGACUACCAUUGGUGUAACCGAUCAACUGACUACAGAGGUAACAGGAGAAUCAACCACUCCAGAAGAACUAGAAUUGACAACAGCAUUUACAUCAGGGGUAUCUACCAGUUUCACAGAAACACCAACACCAUCUACAACAGAUUUGACAGAGGAAACUGAAAUGUCAACAGUUAGAGUGACCAAUCAACUGACGACUAGAGAAUUAACUACUUCUGAGGAACUAGACUUGACAACAGCAUUUACAUCAGAAAUAUCUACCACUGUUACGGAAAUACCAACUCCAUUUACAACAGAUUUAUCAGAAGAAACAGAAAUUCCAACUGAAGGUGUCACUGAUCAACUGACUACAGAGGUCACCAGACAGUCAACUACUCCUAAGGAACUAAACUUGACAACAGCAUUUACAUCACAAGGAUCAACCGGUGUUACAGAAAUAUCAACUCCAUUUAUAACAGACUUAACAGAGGAAACUGAAAUGCCUACUGGAGUAGUAACAGAUCAAUCAACUACAGAGGUUAAUGGACAAUCAACUUCUCCCCAGGCACUCAAACUGACAACAGUAUUUACAUCAGAGGUAUCAAACAGUUUUACAACACCAACCUCAUUUACGGCAGAUUCAACAGAGGAAACAGAAAUGACAACUAUUGGAACGACUGAGCAAUCAACCACAGAAUUCAGUGGAAAAUCAUCAACUUCUGAGGAACUAGAAUUGACAACAGCAUUUACAUCAAAAGUACCUACCACUGUUACUGAAAUGCCUACACAAUAUAUAACUGAUUUAUGGGAUGAAUCUGAAUUGACAACAACAGGAGUUACAGAUCAGUCAACUACAACAUUUAAAACUGAUUUAUCCAGUAUAAAUCCCUCAACAACACUGCUUACAACUAUAGUACCCGUCAUGUUUACCUGUGAUGAGACAUUUGAUCCUGCACUGCUGAAUGCUUCUUCACCUCAGUAUACAAAUCGAGAACAAAAAGUCAUGCAUGAAUUUGAGCCGAUCCUAACAAAAAAAUUUAUUGCCUUCCGCUGGCUGAAAGUUCUUCGGUUCCUGUGA